UUUCUUCCUUGUAUGUCAAGGAAUCGUCUUUGGACUUACGUGUGUCUGAAGUUGAUGGAAUUUUCCUAUCGGUUAUCCCUGUUCCUCUUGCUCAGUGGUAUACUUGCAAAAGUCUAGAUCUUUGCAAGGUGAUUCCAAUCCCAUUCUCCACGGCAUCUGAACCUUGUGUCUAUGCUAGCUUAUCAUGCAUUAUGAUGAGUUGCUAAGGUGGUUUGCAGUAUGUCCAAGGUGGGUUCUAGCACGUAGUGCUGAGGAAUUGUUAUUAUCUAUGCUGGUAUUGGGAUUUACGGGCACAAACUCCAGCACACACUCAACCUCUUUUUGUGAGAGGUGCUAUACCAUGAGUAUUCGGCACCCGCUCAUGGUGGUUGCAACAACAGAUCGAAACAUUGUUGUCUGUAAUCUUGCAAGUCCCCAAACAGAGUUCAAGCGGAUACCGUCUCCGAUGAAGUAUCAAACUCGAUGUGUCUCAACCUUUCCGGGCAAGGAAGGGUUUCUCGUUGGUUCAAUCGAGGGUAGAGUAGCUGUUCAGCACAUUGAUGAGGCUCAGCAAUCCAAGAACUUCAUAUUAAGUGCCAUAGAGACAACAAUGAUAUAUAUAUGCAGUCAAUUCUAUUGACUUCCACCAUAUAUGUUUUUUCUUCCACUCAGUAGGCUUUCCAGUUUAAAAGUGGUCUUUUGUGUUUUCUUUGCAUUAUCUGCUGAUCGCUCUACAUAGUUAUCUAUGAAGGUUUUAGUUAUUGUUACUGUUGCUUCUUUCUUCUUCUUCCUUUUUUUUUUUUUUUUUUUUUUUUUUCCAUGCAAUAUCUUGGAAUAACCAGGUCUAUGGAACGUUCGCUACUUCUGGGUCUGAUGGAGCAUUUAACUCUUGGGAUAAAGAUAGUAAACAAAGAUUGAAGGUAUUUGUCUGAUUGUGAAGGACAUUGGUUUAUGGAAGUUGUGUGGAGGCUCUCCCUGCUUGUCUUUGCUUUAAAUGCAUUGUGCUUAGAUUACGGUUUGAUUACAAAUUCCAAGUAGUGAAUGUGCAUUUUGAAAUAAUCUUGCAGUCAAUGCAGCAAUGUAAUCAGCCGAUUCCUUGCAGUACAUUCAAUCACGAUGGAACAAACUUUGCUUACGCGAUUUGUUUUUUUCUUUUAUUUUUAGAAAGUUAUUUUGAACGCAAUUGUAUCAUAUCAUUGAUUUUCGGGUAUUAGUAAGUUUGCUAGUCAUCGCAGCUGUGUUCCUUUCAAGAUACUGUAAUGGACAUAGAUGAAGGCACUGUCUUGCAUCCCUGCUUAUAUUUUGAAGUUGAUACUCAACGGUUAACUACGAAUGGAGCAAGGGUGCUGAGAAUCACAAUCCUGCACAAGCUCGCAACUACAUCCUCCUCUAUUCCACUCAGGAUUUUGAAGUAAAAGCAAAAGCACAGGUUGCUACCAGUGGAAGAAAAUAAUCGCACACUUUCAAUGAUAUUGUCUUCUGCUGUGGUGUGGUGCCCUAGUGGCUUACUCUGUAUUUUACUUGGAUUCUUACGAAGAUGAUGCGUAAUUCCCACCUCUUGCUAGAGCCCGCACAGGUAUUCAAUUCCUUACCACAGAGUUAUGUAUCAUUAUAUUUCAGAAGUUUACUAUGAGGACUAAGAGAUGAGCCUUUUCCAUUUAAAGACAUUUGCAUGGUGACUUCAGUUGGGAGAGUUGCUAUUCUGACUACAGUUGGGCCUUCUGAAUAGGAUGAGUUCUUUCUCUUAUCUUAUGAUGCUCUCGGAAUCCAACUUGGAAACUCAAUGCUCGACCAACUUAUCAAUUGGGUGAGUGUGCUUUGGUCAUAUAAUUCCAGACUAAAACUAAGUUUUUGCACCUGUCUGAGAGAAUGCAAAGAACUUGCCCAUGUCCACCUGGCAGUGAAGCUUGUUCCUUGCAUUCCUGUUUAGGCCAUCGUGAGUUGUCAGCCAUUAGAUUAGCCAUUGUAAGCGAAGAAUGUUGUUGUUCAUUUGAUAGGAAUUUUUCGCUCAGAGGUCGCUUGGAGCCGUUUGGGUCGAUUUGUGAGUUUGCUGACAAUAUUCCAAUUUGCUGAUGCUGGGAAUUGUGGACCGUACACAAAUACACCUUGAUUUAAACCGAGCAAUUAUAUAUUAGAACGUGCUGUCUAGUUGUUCAGUCUGGCCAUUGUCUAUCUUGUUGGAAUUUUUAAUUAUGAAAGUUUUCUUAAGGGAAGAACUCUGCAUGCCCAUGAGGCAGUGUGUCUUUUCUCAUACUUCUUUGAUAUUCAACUUCAAAGAAUAGGUGUAAUAUACUGAAUGAUUCUUGUUUAUCCAGUUA